ACCCUCUUUAUUUUACAGAUACAGCUUCUGAGGAUCACGGGGAUGAAAGGCAUGAACUGGGCUCACACAGCUAGUAAGUAAAAGAAUCGCUAAAAUCUAAGGUGCUGGAUUUACCAGGGCAGUGGUCUUUCCAGUUGAUAAUUCUGAGAGAAAGCUGUGGGGAAAGAAAGCUGAAGGAGCCCCCGGGAUUGUCUGUACUUGUGGCUUUCCAUAGAUGGGAGAGUGAAUUUCAAAAGGUCUGUCUCUGGUAUCCUGCCUUCCCAGUUAUGAAGAUAUGCCUUUGAAAACUUCCUCAUCUUAGCAGUGCCUUCUAGUGCUAUAUCCCAUUGAAGUUAACUAUUCCAGGCCUUAUUAUUUUUCCGAUUUAAACUUUAGGGGAUUCAGCAUUUAGUGCUCACCUUUUUGUUGUUCAUACACUUUUUAUGUGCAAUUUCAUUAAAAGGUGAAUUCCAUUGAUGACUUACCUAGCAAGCUUAUUGAGGAAAAUCCUAGACUGUUGAUCCCAACUAUGUUGAGUGAUGUGGAAACAAUGAGGGUUUCUUUAGGUUUGAUCAACAUGGGGCAGGCUGGGAGAAAGCUCAGUGGUCAUAUUUCUGGUUUCUAAGAAUUUGAGUUUUUGAGUGUGCAAGUUAUCCCAGGGAACAUCUUAAAUUGUUUUUUGGGGAGCUUGGACCUCUAAUAGCAAUUGUACUUGCAAAAUGUUUCUAAAAGUACAGGUGCCGAGCAGACAUUCAUUCAGAAGUGGCCAGGUAUGGUCAAGAGGUCAAGGGCAGUCCUUUUCUCUUGUGUUCAGGGUGACUUAGUCAAGAUUUUCUAUUACUUAUUAGAUAACUUUGAUUUCUUUUUUUGCAACAUAAUUCCUAGCUCAUUGUAGUACAUAAAUUGCACGAAGAAGAAUCUUCAGACAGAAUAAGUGGUUGCUUUGGAAAUGGGGUAAAUUUAGGGUCCAAAAGAAGAUUCCAAGUCAUAAUCAGAUACUUUCCCUUAGUCAUGGAAAAGUGUAAUUUUACUGUAAUUCCAUGUUUAUGGAGUAUAAUAUAAAUGACAAUAUGAUUUUAUAUUUGUAAUCUCUUUUAAGCAUCCUUUGUUUUAUUAAUUUAUAUGAAAGAUAUACUUGAGUUCCCAUUAUGUCCCUGACAUUGUUGGUAAGGAUUUUAUAGAUCCAGUGAGGGCUACUUAGCUAAAUAGGGAUGAACAAAAGCUUGAACUCACAGAUUCAAUGAUCUUUCUGAUCUAUCAUGUGCCAGGUCUUCUAACUUCUGCUAUAGGCUUCAUUCAUCGGGAUUUGUACUACUUACUCAUAGCAUAAAACAGUCAAAUAGAUGCAAAAGGACCAACUUGGAUUUGAAUAUUAUGGAGUAAGCAUGUGGAUAAUUGCUUAUUUUUUUCACUUUUUAAGCACUUGUGUCCAUGCUAAGUAUUUGAACAUCAUAUUUCAGGCUAUUUUGUCUUUUUCCUGAACUGGCUGCUCAGCUUUGGGAACAAUGUUGACCAGAGCUAUUCCAGACCCUCCUUAGCUCAGAUGUAGUUUAUUGAUUGACUCCUUUAUUUGAGUGUACCCUGGGGCCCAGCCCCAUGCUAGGCCCUGGAGAUGGGUCAGAGGGCUGGUGUGAGAAAGCAGUGCACAAACCUCAGUUUUCUUUUCUCUAAAAUUCUAAACCCUCAUUUCCAAAUAAUAAAGUUUAUUUCACAGAGUUCUUCUGUGGAUCAAUCAAUAUAAGGCUAGCAGAUGCACCCUAAUAAAUGAUAACACAUGAGAUAAAUCAAAGGCAGCAUUAUGGGUAAUUAUGGGUAUAUUACAGGAUAAUAUAAAAGACAGUGCAUGUAGCAUCCUAUAAUACAUGCACACUGAUCUCUAAGCUUCUGUUGUGCAGGAGCUGGGUGUUAUUCAUUGUUGUAUUCUUGGCCUCUUCAACAGGAUCUGACACAUGAAAUUUGAGAAAAAAAUUUAGUGAAGUGAUAAAACCAGGAAGUGUAUAGAUUUUAAAGGAAAAGUACAGAAUAUAAGUUUUAUGAAACUGCACAGAAAUGGGGAAAUUCAGUUCCAUGGAGAGAGAUGCAAUUACUUUUGUGUAGUAUUAAUUUAAGAAAGAACUUUCUGAAACUAGAACUAAUAACCAUGGAAUGAAUUACUACAAGAUUGUCACAAAUAGAAGUAAGUUUUCUACUCGAAGGUAUUCAAAAGAGAACUGGUGAAUCUACCUAUCAGAAAUGUUUUCUACUACAUAUAACAAACCUAUGUGUGUUCUACCAGAUCUCAGAAAAAUAAAACUAAACAUGUGGGUACUUGAAAAAGUUUGUGGAAAAAUGAAAUUAAAAGAUAAACUUAUUUCUCAAAAUAAAUUCCAUCAAGGUCAAGACACUUUUGUAAGCAAUAAUACUGGUCAUUUAGUUCAUCCCUAAAGAACUGAGAGUCCUGGGAAUUUAACCAGGCCAAUGCAGUCUUUUUCACAUUGUUAACUGAAUAAAAAUGGGUGCCUUCCAUAGAUUUUUUUAAGAUUCGGAAACAAACAGAAGUCAGAAGGAGCCAAAUCAGGACGGUAAGGUGGAUACCUAAAAAUUUCCCAUCAAAACUCUCCUCAUAUUUCCCUUGUUUGAUGAGAAGAAUGAGCAGGAGCAUUGUCCUGAUGGAGAAGGACUCUCUGGGAAAUCUUUCCUGGGUUUUUUUCUAUUAAAGUUUUUGCUAACUUUUUCAAAACACUCUCAUAAGUGGAUGUUAUCAUUGUUUGGCUCUCCAGAAAGUCAACAAGCAAAAUUCCUUGAGUAUUCAAAAAAAAAUUGUUGCUAUGAUCUUUGCCCUUGACCAAUCUACUUUUAUUUUGACUAGACCAAUUCCAUCUUUUGGUAGCCAUUGCUUUGAUUGUCCUUUGUCUUCAGGAUUGUAUUGGUAAUGACAUGUUUCAUCUUCUGUUAUAACUCUUCAAAGAAAUGCUUUAGGAUCUUGAUCCCACUUAUUUAAAAUUUCCAUUGAAAGUUCUGCUCUUGUUUGCAGCUGAUCUGAGUGCAAUGAUUUUGGCACUCAUUGACUGGAAAGUUUCUCACCUUUAAUUUUUCAGUUACAGUGGUAUAAGCAGAAUCAAUUGAGGUGUCUAUGGUGUUGGCUAUUGUUUCUGCUGUCAAAUGUCAGUCAGUUGGGUCAGGGACAAGAUUAAUUUUUUCCUUGAAAAUUGAUGUGGGUGGUCUGCUGCUGCAGGCUUCAUCUUCAACAUUGUCUUCAGCACAGCUUGUAAGUGGCAGAACCAGGAUUUGAAGAUAUGCCAUGAAAGCCAGCAUCUGUGUACUCUUAACCAUUACACUAUGUGGUAGAGAAGCAAACUCUCAUGCUUAUCUAUCCCUUUUCUGAGACAUACGUGACUGAUGUGAGCAAACCAGAGAGUGUGUGCGCCAUCCAAAGAAGGCAACAGACCCUCAAUUCCAGGCACUUCUUGCCAUGUUGGAAUAUAUGUCUAGUGUUGCCAGAUCUUCUGAAUUUUAUAUAGCAUCACUCGGUUUUAAAUAUGUCAAUUAAGUAGAUAUGUUCUUUAACUCAUGUAUGUAUAUGUGCAUGCACACAAAUAUACAUGUAUAUGUACAUUAAAGCAAAGUUCACACUGAACCAACAUGUAAGCUAUGUUUGGUUUACCUACUCUGCAUUUGUGAAUUCUAACUUUACUGAAACCAAAUAACAAUCUACAUUUUCUAACACACACAUAUACACACACACACACACAUACAGAUUAGAUGACUUGUUCAAGGUGAUAACAAUUGGUUAACUCUGGGCAUAAGAAGGGCAUAGCUUUUGAUCUCACUACCGUAUCUAUUCUAUACAGUGUUUAUGUAAAGACCAGGUGAAAAAAGCAGCAGCUAACGAGGGAGUUGCCAGCCCUUCACAUAGAAUGCAUCUCGACAAACCUGUGGUACAUUAAACUGGUAACAGAUUCUUUUCUGUUCUUGUCAUUGAGAGAGGGAGUCUAAUUCUUCUUUCUUGGUGAUUUGCUUGACCAACAGAAUGUGGCAGAAUAAAAUUCUGGCAUUUCUGAGAUUAGUCGUAGGAAGUCUUGUAGCAUCUUGCCUGACCAAGUGUCAGCUCUCCACCUGACAGCCACAGCUGAGAUCCCAGCCAUCAGAAAGACUCAACAGUCAGGCAUCCCAGCCCAGGCUUCAGGGAAGUAAUUGAAGAUACCAUAUUAAAUGUGCAUCCUCCUGCUUCAGCUGUCCCAGCCCCUUCAACCACCCAGUUGAACCUUUUCUAAAUUCCUGACCCACACAAGUGUGAGUCAAAUCAAAAUUAAAUUUUAAACAAAUACAGUUUGGGUUAGUUUGUUAUACAGUAAUAGAUAACUAGACCAAUUCCUUUAAGCAAUUUACCCAGGAAAAUGCUCCAAAGCCAUCCCCUUUACCUUCGAGUUCUUCCAGAGGAAUUUCAUUUACUGCUGGGACCUCACAUAAGUGUGGGUGUGCAGAGAAGUCAUUUUUAUAAAAGAUGACUUGGGAGGUUCCAUUUUCAUAUUGAAUGCAUUUGUCAAUUGGACACAGCUAGCAGGUAGAAACCUUCAGACAAAGGAGGUGAGUGACAUAUGAGUGUAUGUCCUUGCCCAUAGGAUUUAUCACUCCCUCUCUGUGGACCUUUGGAAGACAAGUAGAGUUGGAAGGAUGAAAGGAGUCUCUGUAAUGACUCUGGGCCUUCUUAGGAUUCCACCUGGAUUCACAGUGUUGAUUAGAAGUGAUGCCUGUGGAAAAAGAGAGCAAAGUGUGGGCCCUGGGUUGCUGUGUCUGAUGGCUGAGACUUGUGUAUGCUCCAGGUAGUGACAUUUCUGGCCUUAGAGACGGCUUUUCAUCUUCAUCUCAUUGCAAGUGGGUGCCAGAGGCUGAGGAUAUUAAAAUGAACAAAUAUGCUCUAUUCCUCAAAAAGCUACAGACUAUAUACUUUUAUAAAUACAAAUGUAUACAAUUAAUUUAUUACUUGGGCUGAGCCUUACAGAGUAUAAACAGGAAAUGGCUUUAUUUUUCUCUGAUUAUUUCCUUCAAUGUGCUUUAUCUCUUUUCAUUUUCUUUCCUUGCAGUUUGAUGACAUCUUGGGCAGAUUCCAUAAGUGUUCAAUCCUUUUAACCACUUUUUGACAAUAUAGAGUCCAUUCCAGGUUUAAAAAGCCAAAUUCUGACUUUUUUUAAACCCUCAAGCUCAUGUUUAAUUUAAAGCUUUUUUCCUUCCUUCAGAUUGCACCUCGGAGACCAGAGUGGGGUCCAAUAUGGUCUGUCCUCAAUCUUCCUUCACUUUCUCCCACUUCUGCUUCAUAUUCCUUUAAGUUCUGCCCUGUGGGAGGUGGGAAGGGGUGUGAGGAAACAGACAUUGGAAGAAUAAAGGAAACAAUGACUCACAUGGCUAAUGGCUUGUAAUACAGGCAUCUGUGUUCCUGGCUCUAGCAAGUGUUCAGAUACUAUGGUAAGCUGUUCAUAGGGUUUUCCUGCACAACACCCUACCCUCAACAUGUGGAUUUCUGAAGUGCAGUUUCCUGACACAGGUGGCACAUUUUCUUGCUGAUCCUUUUGAAUCUCCUUCUAGCCCCUGCCCCUCUGAGAUCAAUCCGAGACACGGAGCCCUCUUGGGUAGGAUCUCAUUUAGUUGUCUUAAGCUUAGCCAUUCUCUACCCAUUGAGCCAUGCACUGGGUCCAGAGGAAAUUCACAUAUAUUCUUCAAGCCCAACACUGCUCUUCUGCUUCCUGCUGCUCCUCCCUGCCAUCUUGGAGUGCUCUGGCAACCCUAUGCUGCCAGAGUCUUGCCAGUGGGAAGCAGGCUCCAUUCUUUCUGUCACAUAUACCCCCAAAUUCAAGCUCUCCCACAAUCACUUACUGUAUGCUUCACUGGAAUGCCGAGCUGCCAUGGGGCCUGUGGUUCAUGGCAUAAUAAACAUUCCUCUGGGGGCUGGGCCUCCAGCCUCCCUUUCUUGCAGACAUCCCCAGGAUCUACAAAGGAUGCUCUUCAAGCUUCUUCCCCAGCUUUUUGGUUGAGAAAAGCCAAGAACUUUCAAUUCCUCCCUGAGCCUCCUCUCACAUUUCUAGUGUCUUUCACACAGCCUGGAGGAUGUAGUGGUCUUCAGCUUCUCUUUCUUUAGAAUGUGUGAGGACUCUAUUGCCCUCAGUUUUUGCCCAGAUUCUAGGACAAUUUCAUUAAAUACAAAUGAUUUUGAACCAUGUUGGUAAUUGUUGAAAUGGAGCCAUGCCACUGAACAGAUUCAGCCGGAGAAAGAGCAGGAAUACCUCAGGCAGCCAGGCAUGGCAGAGACUGGGCUCUAGGAGAACAAAUGGAGGUUCAUCAGGAAGGAGAGUGAGGGAGAACACUGGGCAGAGACAUGAGAACAUGCUUGAUGACAAAAAAGGGCUUGGUGAACUCAAAGCACAGCACAGUGGCCGGUCAUCUGCAGGGAGAAGGGAGUCAAGACUGCAGAGGCAGCUUGGAGGCAGAACAGGGAAGUAGGGCUGCUGAAGAGCUUCUUGGAGGGGAAGGGGGUGAAGUUGUUUUCUAGUCAGAAGGGGCCAAGGGAGAGAAUCAGGAACAACAAUUAAGAGGCACUGGGUCCCCCAGGUAAUCUCAUUUACCUUUAAAAUGUUACCCUCUUACAUAUUCCUUAGGUUACUCAGUUGUCUUGUGUUCCCAAAUCUCUUUGCCUUCUGGAAGGUUAACAGCCACUGGUAAAUGGAUGGCAAAGGAUUUAUUUGAUAGUCGUGGAACAGGGUCACAUGGCCACAGUCUAUUUUUAGCCACCUCAGUAAGACUGAAUGAAGUAAGAUGUAUGAAAGUGUUCUAUAACAUUCUAACCUUAGAAAACAUAGGGAACACUUAUUGUUAAGCAGUUAAUGUUUGUGCAAGUCAUUUGGCAAUUAAUUAUGAAUUACCUGUGACAUUUCUUCUCUAGUUUUCUGGAAUUGUUAUUUAAGUCUAUAAAUCCACUUGCCUCAUCCCUCAGGGCUCUGCUUCUCUGUUUCCAAGGUGACAGCUAGCUAGCAGGUGGAUUAACCCAUGCUAAUCUGUUAGUUGCUACCAAAGGAGGCAAUGCUGAGUGAUGGCAUGCAUUUUAAGCCUAGUAAUGUUCAGAUUUCUUUUUAAAUAAAAAAAAUUAUUUCAGAUCCAAAGUAUUGACCUGGAUAAUUAUUAAUUAUAAUAUUAAUUAUAUAGGUAUGUAGACCAUUUGGGUGUGUCAGAUAUGUACCAUUACUUUGUGUACUUUCAUUCAGAUUGAAUAAGAUUGAGACUUCAUCCUCUCAUCAGGCUCGCAGGAAUAUUAAUCUAGUUAUUUGAGGGUUCCCUGAAUCUCAGCUGACACAUCCACUAAAGGUUGUCCAAAGGUCUUGGGAGGGGGGUCUGGGGCAGUGCCAAAGCAUGUAGGCCAUUGGCGCGUUAAUUAUCAGUGACACAACCUUAUCCACGCUUCAGGGCAACUUAAAGUCUGCUAUUCUGAUCUCUUUAGGACAUGCUUGAGGCUCAGGAAUUGAAAUCUAAAAUCUCUAGGAUCCAGUUUCCUAAGGUGAAGUAAGCAGCACUUUAUCCAUCUCCUAAGCUUGUCCUGAGAGGGAGUAGGAUGUGGAGGCACCCUCAGAUAUUCUCCUUUGAGACCUGGGUAAAUCUGCCAUCCCUUUCUCUACUUCUUCUCUUACUAGCAACAAUCAUUGCCUUUUUUUCUCUCUUUUUGGUGUACUUAGCAUAUAUCCUCCAUCAGCGAAGCAUUCACAAAAAGCCCUGUGUGAUAUGUUCCUCCAGUAGUUUUGGUUGUGACCGUACAAAUUCUCCUGAUAUUAGAGAACAUAGGUAACUGACUACCUACUGGAAUGAAAGAGGGGAAUGAUGCAGACCCCAAAUUCAUCCUAACAUCUCAAUCAAUUCUCCUACCCAUAUAUAGACAUAAAAGUGGAUAUAACUUUUCAAAUGACUCUAAAUCUUCACAGAACAAUAAACAUAAUCAUUAUUCAUUAAAUAAAAAUAUACAACCCAAUAAAAUUUAUAUUAACAAUAUUACUCACAUGUGAUGAUGAUAUUUGUGAAGGAAAAUCAUUGUUCCUUACAUCAAUAUAGCUCUGAUUAUUAUUGCAUGGCCCUUUUGAGGUAAGCAUGGGUGUACUAUUAUGAAUUGUGUGAUGAUGACUUGAUUUUCCCACAGUUCUUCUGCUUCAGCUACUUUGACCUUUUUUUAUAUGUACCAUCACCUGUGAUGCGGUUUAGAUUUUACAUUGUGCCAAAGUCAUUAUUUUCACAAUAAACAUACUGUACUCUAUUUAAAUUAUUCUGGGACAAUUAAGGUAGUACUAAUUGGUAUAGGAUCCAUCACCAAUACAAACAUAGGCUUGGACAUGGAAAUUGUGGGCUAUUGUUUGAAUUAAGACAAGUCCAUAUACACUCAUCUUUUCUAUAAUACCGUUGAAAUGCAAAUGGAAAAGUAAGAAUUUUUUGGGUUGAAUGUUUGGAACCUCAGGCAUGUAUUUUUGGAACUCCAGGGCCCAUGGAAGCCAGUUUGGAAACACUGCUUCAGUUGCUUAAGUAUGACCUCUGGAGUCAGAUGGAGCUAAAUUUGAACUCCACCUCAGUUUCUACAUUUGUAGCAUAAAUAUGGUAAUAUUAUCUUCAGUAUUAGUUUCCUAUUGCUUCUAUAAGAAAUUGCUACAAACUGGGUGGCUUAGAACAAGAAACAAUUAUUACCUCACACUUCCAGAGGCUAAAAGUCUAAAAAUUAGGAGUUGGUAGGGCCAUGCUCUCUCUGAAGUCACUGGGAAAGAAUCUGCUCAGGCAUCUCCUAGCUUCUGGUAGCCUCAGGCAUUCCUUGGCUUGCAGAUGCAUCACUCUGAUCCUCUGUCUUCAACUGGUGGUCUUCCUGUGUCUUCAUAUCAUCUUUUCUCUAUGUGUGUCUGUCUCUGUAUCAAAUUUCCCCUUUUAAUAAGGGCACCAGUUAUAUUGGAUUAGAGCCCACACUAAUGACUUCAUUUCAUCUUGAUUACCUUUAUAAAGACUCUUAUUUCCUAAUAAGGCCAGAUUCUGGGAUACUAGGGGUUAGGACUUCAAAAUAUCUUUGUUGGGAGGAGGCACAAUUCAAUCCAUAACACCUUUCUUUGGUGUUCUGAGCAAUAGAGAUAAUGGAUCAAAAUUGCCAGGCUCAUUUUAAAUGCUCAGUAAGGAGUCAUCAGUAUGUUCAUAACAGAAUGGUUCAUUGCCCCUUUCAGAUACAUAUGUCAUGGUCAUAUUUACAUUUGGCAUUCCAACUGUAGUUCAGAAUUUCUGGCAUUGCAAUGUGUCAAUGAGAGAAAGGCCCUUUGCUGUAGACCAAAUUCCACUAAAAUGUUUACGUACGCUCAAGGCUAAGGCUGUCAGAUUUCUUUGUUUACUGUGUUAAUUUUCAAAAAUCACUUUGGACCAGACUCUGAGUCUUUUGAUCACAUUUACUGCUUUAUCUUCUUUGUCUAACAGCUGCUUAGUGCAUACUCAGCCCCUCAGUCCUUCCAAGUUUAGGCUGAGUUUCUUUUGUUUGAAAGAAGCAGGCUGCUAUGUAUUUUUUCUUUCUCUUUACUUUUUUUUCAGUUGAAUUUUGGGGCUGAGCCUGACUCUCCCACAAUGAAGAAAAUUAAUGCCAAGCUAGAGGCAGUGAUAAAGAGGAACAUCUCAGAGAGAGGACUUUGAAGGGAAGGGGAUGUGUGUGAUGUGCUGUCAUGGGCAUGGCUAACUGCAUGAAAAGACCUUAAAAGUCUCUGCAUUCCAAUACUGAGUUAUCAUAUUCCAUGCAGAUUAGAUUGCCAAAGAGAAUCUGAACGGUGGCUUUUGCCUCAUGGACAUAAAAGGUUUGUUUUUUUUUUUUUGAGUCUCACGUCCAUUAGAGCAAGGAAUGGAACCUGGCUCAUCAGGCUGGCUGAGGUUUUUUAUGUGGUGGAGGGAGAGCGGGAGACCAGCUUUAUAGAGUGCCCUAUCAGGUAGAUACACAUUUGACACAAGAACGCUGAGUUAUCAAGUUUUCUCCAAGGGCAAUCAUAUAUCUUGGGAAUCCAGAGCCAAAUUAUAUUUGACAUUUCAUUUAAAGCCUGAGACAUCUUGAUGUUAAACCAGAGUCUAAGAGUGCUAAAGCAGGAGUCCAUUCAAUUUGACAGAGCGGAUGUUUCUAUUCCUAUCUCACCUGCAUGGGUAAUAGACAAAUCCUGAUACUUCUUCCUUAUUUCAUCCAGAUGAAAAUCACUGAGUUAGCUCCCUGCCGAAAUGAUACUAGCUCAAAGUUAUUUUCUCUUCACAUCCCUGUGCAAUGUGAAAAGAGUGUAUCAGGAGUCAUUUGGAAGUUGAAUGGUGGCUGGUCUUAUUUAUGCAGUGGGUAACAAAGUUAUGUUUACUUGGCUUAUGUUCCAGAUUGAAGAGGUAUGGGAAGCUUGUGUGUGGGUGGAAGAUACGUAGGCACAAUACUCAUCAAGUGACAUACCCUUCAGAUGUAUUGGGUGGGGCUGGGGGCUUGGAAAACUGCCUUUAACUCAGGUUGCUGCAAUUUCCAUCUCUUUCCUUUUCAUGAGAAUUUUAUACUUGUCCAUGAGGAUGUAGGAAGGAGGACAGGGAGGAAAAAAACAGGCAAAAGGAAGGCUAGUUUAGCCCAGUAUUUUCCAGAGACUGUGCAAAUAAAUAUCGUCUAAAAAUAAGAAAAAAUUAUAUUAUGUUAGCAUAAUGGUAUAUGUAUAUAAUUCAUAGAGAAUGAAACGUACAUAUGUUUAGAAGCAAUGCUCAAUUUGUAUUUAUUUUCUUUUUUUACUUAGGAGAGUACAUGACUAAAAAUGUCUGGAGAUAACCAGUCCAUGGUUUUUACUGGUUAGUAUGUUUAAUUAGUCCCUUAGGAAGUUACAAAAACAGUGAGUCCACCUUAUAGUCAGUAAUUAUUUUAUGAAUUUUUAAUAUGUAAAUAGUUCUGUGCUAAACUUUGCAAUAGAAACAAAGAAGUGUAAAUGAUGGCCCUUGUCUUCAAGGCACUCCCAUAAUGGGGAAGAAUAAGAAGACUGUUGAAUUCCAAGUUAGUUGAUGUGGGCUGGGAUCAUGCAUCCGUAUUUUCAUGCCAAGUUGAGAUGUGUCGAGCUUCACCAAGUAGCGUGGGAUACUUAGCGAAGGGAUGGAGAACAAUUGGUGGAGUAAAGGAAUAAGGGACUGAGUGAAAAAAAAAACAAUGAAAAAGUGCUCUGGCAGACUUCAAGCUGAAGGAGAACUCACAAUGGAUUGGGCUGUAGUGGUCGCAGAGGAAUGAAAAGAAAGAAGAAAACCAUACAAGCUGUGAGUUCCUACUUUAUUUGCAAACUUCUAUAAGUGCAGCCAGUUUCUCUUUCAGGGGUCCCAAAUAGGUCCUCUGGCCAAAAAAGGCCCCUCCAAGGAUACAACAGAUGCAUUGAACCCCAGACACUAUCUAUUAGCGUACCUCCCUGCUCCAAAAUAUAUGUUUUGCCUCAUUAUCAUCUCUCUUUAAAAAAUAUCACCAUAAUAUUACAACCAAAUGUUAUAGCAUUGGUGGAGGUGCCUUAGAAAAUUUUAGAUAAAUGAAAAAAAAGCAUAUUCUCAUAUUCUCAACAUCCAGAAGCUGCCACCAUUAGCACCUUGUUGAAUAUCCACCUUAGCAUAUUUACAACAUUUUACAUCAAAAUGGAGCAUACUAUGCACACUGUUUCGUAACCUGCUCCUUUUUCUAGUAAUGAUGGCUACCUUUCCAUUUAAUUAUAUUGUAAACUCAUCAAAUAUUCUCCCAGAUGACAUUCACAUGACUUGUGCAGUUGGUUUCUCCUGUAUCAAUCUAGGACCACAUUGAGCCAGGUUGUAAUGUCACUUAAGCAGUGACAUGUUGCAGCUGGCUUAUACCUCAUACAAGACUCAGUUGUUAAGCUUUCAGGAAUUUUAGGAGUGGGUUGAGGUCACAUUGGCAGCUUGAAAGUGCCACGGUGGAAGUAUUUACAAUAUGGAAAUCAGCAAAUAUUGCAAAUCAAAGCCUCGUCAUCACUCCAAAUUGGUUGUGAAACAUUACUAACACAUCUUUGCCCCUAUUUGCCACUAGUCUCUUUUAAUCCAGAAGAGCAGAAGAACACCCCCUUGCUUCUUUGUUCCUUUUUUUUUUUUUUUUUUUU
rnacentral:lncRNA from 1 species